GGUCAGUAGGUUGGUCGUGCCACCGGUACGUACUGGUCUCACUGAUUCCUCCUUCCUGAAGAACCGUAAUGCCAUUAAUUUGGUGUUGCGGGGAAACAGGACUGUUACUUUGAAAAAAUUAGAGUGUUUAAAGCAAGCUAACGCUUGAAUACAUAGCAUGGAAUAAUGAAAUAGGACGAUCGAUCCUAUUUUGUUGGUUUCUAGGAUUGACGUA
rnacentral:rRNA from 1 species